ACAUCCCUCAAGGUCAAAGCCACAUCUCAAAAUUUCCAUCCAUGGCUUCAGCCGUUACAUCUCUCAAAGUCUCAAUUUCUCUCACAAUAUGAGUUUCCAGUCUCACCAGCAAUUUUCCAACAAUCCCGCCCCCAAUCCCAACCCUAAUCCGCCGCCCAUUCUCAUCUUAUUCUUCUUCGGCCUCUCUGAGUCCGGAUUUGAAAAAUGCCCUGUGAUUUUUAUUUCUGUUUCAUUGUAGUCCUACUGACUGAAGAACUCUUCCUCUCUCGCUCUUCACAUCUCUCAGAUCUAGCGGGGGAGAAAUCCCUGCCACCAACCUCCGAAGAAUUUGCAAAACAUUCCAGGUUGCCGCCAGUUUCUCGCUGCUGCUGACGCAAUCGCCUCUGUCUGCUUCUCUUCGUCUGCCGCCACUCGGCCGCCGGGAUAGAAAUCGCCAUCACCGCCGCUGCCCACCUCCUCUGCCAUGUUAAGUAUGAGUUAUGAUUUGAUGAAUUUAACAUGAUGAAAUAGAAUAUGGGCUUGAAGAGUUGGUGGAGUUCAGAUGGAGAGAAUUAGGAGAGGAGACACAGGAAAUUCAUGGGGCAAAUUCGUCGUUCGAUUAGCUGUCUGUAUUGCACAUGAUGGCAAUGCUGACGCUGAUGGAGGCAAAUGAAAAGCUAAUUCCUAAAGAAAGUAGUCUGUCUGAGAGGAAGAAGCUACCUUCGGACAUGCAGGGGCACGUGCUAGAGGCGAUUUCACAUCAAGCACUGGCACAGGGAACUGAAAUUCAGCUUGGAUUAGUUGUCCAAAGUAAAAAUGCAACUGUCUGUGAAGAAGAGACUAGCUUGUGAACAGUUGAGUUUCUAUGCUCAGGCGUAUAACUGUUUAUCGGACAAGAAUGAGAGCAGUGCAGCUCUGAAGAAUCAACUAUUCUUCCUCAAGUUGAAGCUUCUGGAAGCUAAGGCUGCAGCUUACUACUAUCACCGUGUAAUCCUAGACAAGGGCACAGAGCCUUCCUGCCAUGUCAGCGUCGUCUGCUGCUCUCUUGCUACAGAGGAGUUGCUGGUCGAGAGCAAGAAGGCAUACUUGACCUUUUGCCUUGCAGAUCCAAUCACAAGGCGAUGGUUGUUUUGAGCGGGAUCACGGCGAUUGAGAUAGGGCAAGAGGUGAUCAUUGAGGAGGGCAGGCGGGAUCGCGAGCGAUUGAGGAUGAGAGCAACAAAGGGAAGUAGUUCGCAUAUGUAAUUGCUUACUUCGUUUGAUUUUUUUCUUUUUCUUUUUCUUUUUAGACUAAAAGGCUUCUUGGGUUUGAGGAUUUUAAGAUUGAUUUGACUAUUAAAGUUACAAUUUCUUGGAAUUAUAUGUUUGGGUUUAAUAAAUUAUGGAAUAUUUUUCUCUGAUAAAUUAAAAAGAAAAAUAAUAAACACGAUAUAUGUAACAAAAAGUGAAUGUAGAGCACUAUACAAAAAUUAAUAACUUGACUUCAAAAACUUUUUUUAGCUUGCUACAAUAAGAAUAACUAAUUUCUAUUUAAAUUGAUAUAAAUACAAUUAAAUUAGAUAAUGAAUGAUUAAUUAAUGAAAAUUUUAAAAAUUUAUAAUUAUAGUAUUAAAUAAUUCUUGCAUCUUUUUCUUUAAAAUUACUGUAAGAUCAAAUAAUUCCCAUCGAAUUUCGACGGAUUAGGUGAUUUAUUUGUUGGGUGGUUGAUUGCAGAAUGUCGACGCUGAAAAGCAGCAGCGCACCUCCCUCUCAAGCUUCGAUGGGCAUCCGUCGGGUAACGGGUGGAGGGGUAACGGGUGGCGGAUACCUAACGGGUGGCGGGUAUCUGUGGAUCGUGGGUAUGGGUGGCAAAUAAUUUUUUUGAAUAUACAUUUUGCUAAGUCAUGUUAGAGAUGAAAGUCCUCUUCAAUUUAUUUUUUCAUUUUAGUUUGAUAUGUAAUUAGAUUUAUGUCAUGUUAACACUUAUUUUAUUGAAUAAUAUUCAUUAUUUAUAAAUAUAUUAUGAAAAGAA